GACGAACGCUGGCGGCGUGCCUAACACAUGCAAGUCGAGCGAUGAAGUUUCCUUCGGGAAACGGAUUAGCGGCGGACGGGUGAGUAACACGUGGGUAACCUGCCUCAUAGAGGGGAAUAGCCUUUCGAAAGGAAGAUUAAUACCGCAUAAGAUUGUAGUAUCGCAUGGUACAGCAAUUAAAAGAGCAAUCUGCUAUGAGAUGGACCCGCGGCGCAUUAGCUAGCUGGUGAGGUAACGGCUCACCAAGGCGACGAUGCGUAGCCGACCUGAGAGGGUGAUCGGCCACAUUGGGACUGAGACACGGCCCAGACUCCUACGGGAGGCAGCAGUGGGGAAUAUUGCACAAUGGGGGAAACCCUGAUGCAGCAACGCCGCGUGAGUGAUGACGGCCUUCGGGUUGUAAAGCUCUGUCUUCAGGGACGAUAAUGACGGUACCUGAGGAGGAAGCCACGGCUAACUACGUG
rnacentral:rRNA from 1 species